rnacentral:rRNA from 1 species
AACGAACGCUGGCGGCAGGCCUGACACAUGCAAGUCGAGCGAGCAUUUCGGUGCUAGCGGCGGACGGGUGAGUAACGCGUGGGAACGUGCCCUUUUCUGCGGAAUAGUCCUGGGAAACUGGGGGUAAUACCGCAUACGCCCUUUUGGGGAAAGAUUUAUCGGAGAAGGAUCGGCCCGCGUUGGAUUAGGUAGUUGGUGGGGUAAUGGCCCACCAAGCCGACGAUCCAUAGCUGGUUUGAGAGGAUGAUCAGCCACACUGGGACUGAGACACGGCCCAGACUCCUACGGGAGGCAGCAGUGGGGAAUCUUAGACAAUGGGGGCAACCCUGAUCUAGCCAUGCCGCGUGAGUGAUGAAGGCCUUAGGGUUGUAAAGCUCUUUCAGCUGGGAAGAUAAUGACGGUACCAGCAGAAGAAGCCCCGGCUAACUCCGUG